UUCUAAUGAGCUUUAGUUAGCAGUUAAAAUUCAUUAGAACAAAUUAUCUCCUUGAAUGAACACGUAGAGCUUGAUACUACACGUAUCUUCCAACUUUACACUCAGCUCUCAAUUUUACACUCAGCUAAAUCCCUCAAACCGACUCAAACGAGUAUAAAUACGAUGAGUUACCAUAAAUCUUAUUUUUCCCCAUUCUGCAAACUCCAAACAGUAAAGUAAAUAUCCAUCCCAAAAGCAUAAAUCAUCCCCAGCAGUCAUCACAGCAAACAAGCAGGUUAAGCUGUGAUGCAGAUGAAUGUCAGCAGAGCAAAGCUUUUGAUAUAUAAGUACUAAAUUAGGCUCAGGAUUCCAUGUCUUCAUACAUGUAAUUCACUUAAGCUAUUCCGCUGCAACGCUUAGUGCGUUUUACUUUAUUGAUGUGUUGCAAAGAUUUCAAACUAAUAGCUUACAGAAUUAUGUCACUUGAUACUUAGACAACUUGUCGUUAUGUUAUUGUGAGUUGUCUGCUUUUGAGUUUUAGAAAAGAUUGCUUAUGAUUACCAAAUAUUUUGGUAAA